GAGAGUAUAGCUCAAGUGGUAGAGCACAUGCCUAGCAUGCAUGAGGUCCUGGGUUCAAUCCCCAGUACCUCCU
rnacentral:tRNA from 1 species